GAUGAACGCUGGCGGCGUGCCUAAUACAUGCAAGUCGAGCGAAUGGAUUAAGAGCUUGCUCUUAUGAAGUUAGCGGCGGACGGGUGAGUAACACGUGGGUAACCUGCCCAUAAGACUGGGAUAACUCCGGGAAACCGGGGCUAAUACCGGAUAACAUUUUGAACCGCAUGGUUCGAAAUUGAAAGGCGGCUUCGGCUGUCACUUAUGGAUGGACCCGCGUCGCAUUAGCUAGUUGGUGAGGUAACGGCCCACCAAGGCAACGAUGCGUAGCCGAACUGAGAGGGUGAUCGGCCACACUGGGACUGAGACACGGCCCAGACUCCUACGGGAGGCAGCAGUAGGGAAUCUUCCGCAAUGGACGAAAGUCUGACGGAGCAACGCCGCGUGAGUGAUGAAGGCUUUCGGGUCGCAAAACUCUGUUGUUAGGGAAGAACAAGUGCUAGUUGAAUAAGCUGGCACCUUGACGGUACCUAACCAGAAAGCCACGGCUAACUACGUGCCAGCCGCCGCAGUAA
rnacentral:rRNA from 1 species